UACGGAGGGUGCGAGCGUUGUCCGGAAUCACUGGGCGUAAAGGGCGCGUAGGCGGCGCGGAUAGUCGGCGGUGAAAGCCCGGAGCUCAACUCCGGGUCGGCCGUCGAUACUUCCGGGCUUGAGCACUGUAGAGGCAGAUGGAAUUCCGGGUGUAGCGGUGGAAUGCGUAGAGAUCCGGAAGAACACCGGUGGCGAAGGCGGUCUGCUGGGCAGUUGCUGACGCUGAUGCGCGACAGCGGUGGGG
rnacentral:rRNA from 1 species